GGUCGGGCCCUAUGCGGCGGCGCGUCGGCUAACUCCGUCAGGUCCGGAAGGAAGCAGCGGUCGUCAGAUGUGGCCGCGUGCUGUAGGUCACCUGAUCCUC
rnacentral:SRP_RNA from 1 species